CACAUCACGAAAGUGAAUUGUACUAGAAGUCUGCAGGCUGACCCGCAAGGGAGGCAGCGGCCCAAGGUAUGAUCCAUGAUUGGGGUG
rnacentral:rRNA from 1 species